GGUUAUAUAGUGAAUUCCACUAUCACAAUGAAAUUUCAAUUCAUAGAAAGAAUAACUA
rnacentral:tRNA from 1 species